UACAGAGGGGCAAGCGUUAUUCGGAAUUAUUGGGCGUAAAGGGCGCGUAGGCGGCUUGGCAAGUGGAAGGUGAAUCCUCCGGCUUAACCUGACGGAAGACGGCCCUCCAAACUGCUUUGCUUGAGGCCGGGAGAGGCGAGUGGAAUUCCCAGUGUAGCGGUGAAAUGCGCAGAUAUCAGGAGGAACACCGAUUGCGAAGGCAGCUCGCUGGGACGUUACUGACGCUGAGACGCGAAAGCGUGGGGAGCAAACAGG
rnacentral:rRNA from 1 species